rnacentral:rRNA from 1 species
UGAGGACCAGAGAUGGACCUCUUCAUUUAGUUGGCGGGAACACAGGUGCUGCAUGGCUGUCGUCAGCUCGUGUCGUGAGAUGUUGGGUUAAGUCCCGCAACGAGCGCAACCCUCGCCUUCAGUUGCCAUCAUUCAGUUGGGCACUCUGGAGGGACUGCCGGUGACAAGCCGGAGGAAGGUGGGGAUGACGUCAAGUCCUCAUGGCCCUUACGGGCUGGGCUACACACGUGCUACAAUGGUGGUGACAAUGGGCAGCGACGGGGUGACCCUGAGCAAAUCCCCAAAAGCCAUCUCAGUUCGGAUUGCACUCUGCAACUCGGGUGCAUGAAGUUGGAAUCGCUAGUAAUCGCGCAACAGCAUGGCGCGGUGAAUACGUUCCCGGGCCUUGUACACACCGCCCGUCACACCAUGGGAGUUGGUCUUACCCUAAGACGGUGCGCUAACCGCAAGGAGGCAGCCGGCCACGGUAAGGUCAGUGACUGGGGUG